CCUACGGGUGGCAGCAGUGAGGAAUAUUGGUCAAUGGUCGGGAGACUGCACCAGCCACGCCGCGUGAGGGAGGAAGGUACAGAGUAUCGUAAACCUCUUUUGUCAGGGAACAAAGACUGGGACGCGUCCCCGGAUGAGUGUACCUGAAGAAAAAGCAUCGGCUAACUCCGUGCCAGCAGCCGCGGUAAUACGGAGGAUGCGAGCGUUAUCCGGAUUUAUGGGGUUUAAAGGGUGCGCAGGCGGUCUGUUAAGUCAGCGGUCAAAGCACGGGGCUCAACCCCGGCCCGCCGUUGAAACUGGCAGUCUCGAGUUGGAGAGAAGUAUGCGGAAUGCGCGGGGUAGCGGUGAAAUGCAUAGAUAUGACGAAGAACCCCGAUUGCGAAGGCAGCUUGCUGCAGCGGAACUGACGCUGAUGCUCGAAAGCGCGGGUAUCGAACAGGAUUAGAUACCCCAGUAGUC
rnacentral:rRNA from 1 species